AAAAGUUCUUUUAAAUUAAAAUUUUUUCGGAGAGUCAAGUCGCGGGGUCAGGGAAAGUGAAAUGGAGCAAGGCCAUAUAAAGGUUAUGUUUUUUAAAGCAAAGAAAAGUUAAAGUGAAAGUCGGAUGCAAGCGCAAUGAAUGGAUUAAAAAUGUGAAAAACACGUGGUCUCGUAAGAGAGAGAGAGAGAGAGAGAGAUAGCCGCCAUUGCCCGCCAUGGGGCAUCUCGUGAAAGAGAGAGAAAGCCAACCGGCAUUGCCCUCCAUAGGUCUGCAUAUUGACAAGCCGCCAUCUUUAUGGAUAACUCUGGGGAAAAAUGUGAUCUAGAAUUUGUGGGGCUCGAGAAACUUCUUCGAUUGCAAUUUCUUCGGCAUGAGAUUUUAUCAUGGUGCUAGAAGAAUACAAUUACAAAAGAAUCAAUCCGGCAUUAUAAUGUUUUGACAAGACUUGAUGGAAACUGAUACUAAAUUGACCUUUUGAAGUUAACCAAGACUGCUCUGCUGAUUUCUUUAUCGCGCGAGUUCUUAUUGUCCUGCGAGUCUAAUCUCUAAGGUGUAAGUUGGAUCGACAUUUUAUAUCAAGGCCCUUUAAAUAUGUGUUGGAUGGAAGUGCAAUCAAAAGCCUUUUCUGCGGAAUUCUUCAAUAGCGCCAAGAUAUCCCUGCAAUUAUAAAGAAAUCCGAAAGUAGUGGUGAAAACUGGAUUUUUGAAGAUAAUAAAUAACUCUGAGUAUAUAGAUUGCUGUAGGAGGUCCAUUUAAUCGAGAUCUUUGAAGAUAUGGUCCUGAUUUAACUGAAAAGGUUGUAUUUUAAAUCUGUAUGACCACUGAAAACCAUAUUGCCCCAUAA